AGAGUUUGAUCCUGGCUCAGAAUCAACGUUGGCGGCGUGCCUAACACAUGCAAGUCGAACGAGAAAGUCCCCGCAAGGGGAUGAGUACAGUGGCGAACGGGUGAGUAACACGUGACUAACCUACCCUCGAGUGGGGGAUAACUCCGGGAAACCGGGGCUAAUACCGCGUAAUACCUUCGGUUGAGAUGCCGGACGGUCAUAGCAGCAAUGCGCUCGAGGAGGGGGUCGCGCCUGAUUAGCUAGUUGGUGAGGUAACGGCUCACCAAGGCUGUGAUCAGUAGCCGGCCUGAGAGGGCGCACGGCCACACUGGAACUGAAACACGGUCCAGACUCCUACGGGAGGCAGCAGUGGGGAAUUUUGCGCAAUGGGGGAAACCCCGACGCAGCAACGCCGCGUGGAGGAUGAAGUCCCUUGGGACGUAAACUCCUUUCGACCGGGACGAUUAUGACGGUACCGGUGGAAGAAGCCCCGGCUAACUUCGUGCCAGCAGCCGCGGUAAUACGAGGGGGGCAAGCGUUGUUCGGAAUUAUUGGGCGUAAAGGGCGCGUAGGCGGU
rnacentral:rRNA from 1 species